rfam:Aedes albopictus isolate Foshan contig94840, whole genome shotgun sequence.
UAGCCUAAUUGGUUAAGGCUAUGGAUCGCCAAUCCGGAGACGGCGGGUUCGAUUCCCGU